rnacentral:misc_RNA from 1 species
GCAUCAACAGUCAAAGGUAGAAUCUUUGACCCUGGUUUUGCAGAUUUACCUCUACCCAUAUCAAGAGGGUAUUGCGCAAUAUGAAUCUCAGGGAAUGCACCCCCAUCCCCAAAAUCCUCCACUCUGCGGGGAACAAAACCUUUACGCUCCAAGUAGGGAGGCACAAGUUUAGGAUUGACAACCGUGGUUUGCUCUGCCUCAGAUGAGCUGAAUCGUUGUCUAAACCAUGGGUCAUUUGAAUGAUCAUAAUAAGUUGUAGUGGUUGACUUAACUGGAGGAAGGAGGUCCCUUAGAGCCGCCAUUAUUAAUGGAUCCUCAGGCAACUGCAACACAAAUUGAAGGCCCUGUUUCAAGUCGCUUGCAAACUGCCUGCAAUUCUGCGAUCCAGAAAGAGAGGACGGAACAGCCGAGCAGCAGCUGCGCGUGCAGUAAGAUUAAGGGGCGGCGGCGAUAAUAAUAGAGUUAAAGGGUUGGAGGAAGUGCGAAGGCAGAGAUUCAGUCGAAGGCACGAGGCCGAGAGACCGAGGAAGAGAGUGAAUACAGCAAUGGCCGAUGAGAUACAGAAAGAGGCAAUAGGUGCGGGCUUGAUGUUGCAAUAGACGGAUGCGAAUG